UACGUAGGGUGCAAGCGUUGUCCGGAAUUAUUGGGCGUAAAGAGCUCGUAGGCGGUCUGUCGCGUCGGCUGUGAAAACCCAGGGCUCAACCCUGGGCCUGCAGUCGAUACGGGCAGACUAGAGUCCGGCAGGGGAGACUGGAAUUCCUGGUGUAACGGUGAAAUGCGCAGAUAUCAGGAGGAACACCGGUGGCGAAGGCGGGUCUCUGGGCCGGAACUGACGCUGAGGAGCGAAAGCGUGGGGAGCGAACAGG
rnacentral:rRNA from 1 species